rnacentral:rRNA from 1 species
GACACUGAACAUUGAGCCUUGAUGUGUAGGAUAGGUGGGAGGCUUUGAAGUGUGGACGCCAGUCUGCAUGGAGCCGACCUUGAAAUACCACCCUUUAAUGUUUGAUGUUCUAACGUGGACCCGUUACCCGGGUUGCGGACAGUGUCUGGUGGGUAGUUUGACUGGGGCGGUCUCCUCCUAAAGAGUAACGGAGGAGCACGAAGGUUGGCUAAUCCUGGUCGGACAUCAGGAGGUUAGUGCAAUGGCAUAAGCCAGCUUGACUGCGAGCGUGACGGCGCGAGCAGGUGCGAAAGCAGGUCAUAGUGAUCCGGUGGUUCUGAAUGGAAGGGCCAUCGCUCAACGGAUAAAAGGUACUCCGGGGAUAACAGGCUGAUACCGCCCAAGAGUUCAUAUCGACGGCGGUGUUUGGCACCUCGAUGUCGGCUCAUCACAUCCUGGGGCUGAAGUAGGUCCCAAGGGUAUGGCUGUUCGCCAUUUAAAGUGGUACGCGAGCUGGGUUUAGAACGUCGUGAGACAGUUCGGUCCCUAUCUGCCGUGGGCGCUGGAGAACUGAGGGGGGCUGCUCCUAGUACGAGAGGACCGGAGUGGACGCAUCACUGGUGUUCGGGUUGUCAUGCCAAUGGCACUGCCCGGUAGCUAAAUGCGGAAGAGAUAAGUGCUGAAAGCAUCUAAGCACGAAACUUGCCCCGAGAUGAGUUCUCCCUGAGACUUAGAGUCUCCUGAAGGAACGUUGAAGACGACGACGUUGAUAGGCCGGGUGUGUAAGCGCAGCGAUGCGUUGAGCUAACCGGUACUAAUGAACCGUGAGGCUUAACCUUACAACGCCGAAGCUGUU